rnacentral:sRNA from 1 species
CUUGACUCCGUUUGUCGCCAUGGUAAGUCCAUCGGCCCCCAUCGGCCCCGGGGAGGCUUCCCAAAACCCGAGGCCGCUGCCACGAAAUGCCUGGGCCGCGCGGAGCGUCGAGGGACGGGAGCCUUUUAAAGGCUUUUUCAAGAAAAGAUCCAGUUCGGCCACUGUUUUUCGUGGCCUGGAGGGAAGCUAGUGAGCCAGCGAGCAACCUGGAGAGGGACGGGCUGCGCUGCGGCCGCGGAUUCAAGGGGGCUCUUUCUUUGCCCGGCCGCUGCCGAGUCGGGAAGGGAUUCCGGUUUCCCUUCGCUUAUAGCGAAUCUGGUUCUGGAGGCGGGGGGUGGGAGGUGGCAGCCACCCCCGAAAUCGUGGCCUGACUGUGGGCUGCGCGUGGCAUGCGCAACGUGGAGGGUAAUCAGGAGGGUAAUGUGGGCUACUGGUUUUCGAAAAGGGUUUAGCUUGAUGUGGAGAAGCGAACCUCAUUUUUAGAUCCCAGGACUUUUGUUUAGAGGACGUUUAUUCAGAGACUUGAGCGUCACCCCGUGGAAGCGCCUAGAACAAGGGGUGUUUUGUGAACCUGUGUGUCAUUCUGGCCUUCUUAGUAAAUGGCAGCAGCGAACCAGUCACUCUUUACUGGGAGAUGUAAAAUGUUGAUUUCUAGAUAUGGAGGCGAUAAGUACUGAUAUUUUAUUACUUGUCAAGUAAUAGUUUAUUACUUGACAAAAUUUACAACUUCUACUGUGGAUGGGGGGCGGGGUGUAAUCUUUGCCUUCUUUGUAUUGGCUCCCAUUAUUAUGCAAGGGUAUGUUCGUCCGGGUUGGCCAGGCAUUAAACCUGCAUCCGUGCCAAUUUUGCAAGAUUAUUCUGUAGAUUUGGGGGAGUAUUGGGGUUGGCCUUAGAUGAAAGCCAAAAGAUGCAACUAGAAAUUGAGACAGUCAUCCUUGGAAAAGUGACAUUUCAUUUAUUUUAAAACUUAAAAGUUUAUUUUUUUAGCCAGUGACAUUUAGCAGUAGGGAUAGAGUUAGGAUUAAUACCGAAAUGGUGAGUAGGUUAGAUCUUCUGAAUGUCAGGGAUUUUCCCUAAGUCUUAAUCACCCUCCCAAUGACACUUGAAAAGUAUGUACCCCUAUUUUACAAAGUAGAGCACUGAGAUUCGUUGACUUGCAAAUGGUAGGUAGGUGGUUCUGUUUGACUCAAAGCUGUGUUCUUCCCAGGAAGCCAGAUUACCUAGCCAUUCCCAGUGUGGUCGUCUGAGUCCUUGGGGGAUGGCAGGGGAAAUUGAAAAGUAGCCUCUGGCUGUGGAGCAGAAAGGACCUGGGUUUGAAUCCUGGUUCUGCACAUUGAUGCUCUGAUUUUGUGCAAGUUUCUUAACCUCCUGUUCCACUUAUUUUAUUUGAACGAUGGAAACUGUGGUAUCUGCCCCCAGAGAAGUUGUGAGGGUCAGAGACUUGCUUGGCUUGAUGGCUUAGCAUUGAGAAGAUUUUGGGGCUGGGGUAUGUGUUAAGCACUCAAAUGUUGGUUUGAAGGAGUUCUUGACUUUGAAUCAUUCGGGCAGGCUCUAAUAUCACUGUCUAAAUUGAUUGCAUUUUCUUCCCAGUCUUCUCACAAGACUUUCAGGAUUAAGCGAUUCCUGGCCAAGAAACAAAAGCAAAAUCGUCCCAUUCCCCAGUGGAUUCGGAUGAAAACUGGAAAUAAAAUCAGGUACAACUCCAAAAGGAGACAUUGGAGAAGAACCAAGCUGGGUCUGUAAGGAAUUGCACAUGAGAUGGCACACAUAUUUAUGCUGUCUGAAGGUCACGAUCAUGUUACCAUAUCAAGCUGAAAAUGUCACCACUAUCUGGAGAUUUCGACGUGUUUCCUCUCUGAAUCUCUUAUGAACACGUUGGUUGGCUGGGUUCAGUAAUAAAUAUGUGAGGCCUUUCGUUUU